UACGUAGGGGGCUAGCGUUGUCCGGAAUCAUUGGGCGUAAAGCGCGCGUAGGCGGCCAGAUAAGUCCGGUGUGAAAGUCACAGGCUCAACCUGUGAAUGCCGCUGGAAACUGUCUGGCUAGAGUCCGGAAGAGGCGAGUGGAAUUCCCGGUGUAGCGGUGAAAUGCGCAGAUAUCGGGAGGAACACCAAUGGCGAAGGCAGCUCGCUGGGACGUUACUGACGCUGAGACGCGAAAGCGUGGGGAGCAAACAGG
rnacentral:rRNA from 1 species